rnacentral:rRNA from 2 species
GAGUCUGAUGGAGCACGCCGCGUGAGUGAAGAAGGGUUUCGGCUCGUAAAACUCUGUUGUUAGAGAAGAACAGCCGUGAGAGCAACUGCUCACGGUAUGACGGUAUCUAACCAGAAAGUCACGGCUAACUACGUGCCAGCAGCCGCGGUAAUACGUAGGUGGCAAACGUUGUCCGGAUUUAUUGGGCGUAAAGGGAGCGCAGGCGGUUUAUUAAGUCUGAUGUGAAAGCCUUCGGCUUAACCGGAGAAGUGCAUCGGAAACUGAUAAACUUGAGUGCAGAAAAGGAUAGUGGAACUUCAUGUGUAGCGGUGAAAUGCGUAGAUAUAUGAAGGAACACCAGUGGCGAAGGCGGCUAUCUGGUCUGUAACUGACGCUGAGGCUCGAAAGCAUGGGUAGCAAACAGGAUUAGAUACCCUGGUAGUCCAUGCCGUAAACGAUGAAUGCUAGGUGUUGGAAGGUUUCCGCCUUUCAGUGCCGCAGCUAACGCAUUAAGCAUUCCGCCUGGGGAGUACGACCGCAAGGUUGAAACUCAAAGGAAUUGACGGGGACCCGCACAAGCGGUGGAGCAUGUGGUUUAAUUCGAUGCUACGCGAAGAACCUUACCAGGACUUGACAUCUUCUGCCAAUCUAAGAGAUUAGACGUUCCCUUCGGGGACAGAAUGACAGGUGGUGCAUGGUUGUCGUCAGCUCGUGUCGUGAGAUGUUGGGUUAAGUCCCGCAACGAGCGCAACCCUUGUCUUUAGUUGCCAGCAUUAAGUUGGGCACUCUAGAGAGACUGCCGGUGAUAAACCGGAGGAAGGUGGGGAUGACGUCAAAUCAUCAUGCCCCUUAUGUCCUGGGCUACACACGUGCUACAAUGGGCGAUACAACGAGUUGCGAAACCGCGAGGUCAAGCUAAUCUCUUAAAGUCGUUCUCAGUUCGGAUUGCAGUCUGCAACUCGACUGCAUGAAGUUG